rnacentral:tmRNA from 1 species
GGGGGCGAAACGGGUUCGACGGGGGUAUGGAAACUUAAGUUGCAUGCCGAGAUGCCAUCUGAUCUCGUUAAACAGAUGGACUAAACACAAACGCAGACGAUUACGCGUACUCCUUAGCUGCUUAGGCAGCUAACGUCCGACCGAUCUUUCCUGCGGGGUUGAAUCGGGCGUCGACACAGCAGGAUAGCUUGCCUCAUUUCGCCUGUUGGUAGGUGAGCAAAAUAAAAACAGGUUAGCCUACAAGGUACCCUUCCCGGUAGGGGACCUGGAGGCGAAAACAAAAUAUCGGGAUACGCAUUGUAGACGCUUAAGUGGAAUACUUUCGGACGGGGGUUCGACUCCCCCCGCCUCCACCA